rnacentral:rRNA from 1 species
CGUUGAUAGGCAGGGUGUGUAAGUGCUGUGAGGCAUUGAGCUAACCUGUACUAAUUGCCCGUGAGGCUUAACCAUACAACACCCAAAGGGUUUUG